rnacentral:rRNA from 1 species
GGACUACUGGGGUAUCUAAUCCUGUUUGCUCCCCACGCUUUCGCACCUCAGCGUCAGUAUCGACCCAGAUCGCCGCCUUCGCCACCGGUGUUCCUCCCGAUAUCUACGAAUUUCACCUCUACACCGGGAAUUCCGCGAUCCUCUUUCGUACUCUAGCUCGCCAGUUUCGGAUGCACUUCCUCGGUUAAGCCAAGGGCUUUCACAUCCGACAUAACGAACCGCCUACGUGCGCUUUACGCCCAAUGAUUCCGAGCAACGUUUGCACCCCCUGUAUUACCGCGGCUGCUGGCAC